rnacentral:rRNA from 1 species
UACGUAGGUGGCAAGCGUUGUCCGGAAUUAUUGGGCGUAAAGCGCGCGCAGGCGGCCUCUUAAGUCUGAUGUGAAAGCCCCCGGCUCAACCGGGGAGGGCCAUUGGAAACGAUGGGAGCUUGAGUAUAGGAGAGAAGAGUGGAAUUCCACGUGUAGCGGUGAAUGCGUAGAGAUGUGGAGGAACACCAGUGGCGAAGGCGACUCUUUGGCCUAUAACUGACGCUGAGGCGCGAAAGCGUGGGGAGCAAACAGG